CAAAUAAACCCCCUACAUAUAUAAACUUUGCUGUGGCUUCUUCAUUUUAGGUUGGCAUAUCUGGCAUAAGUCAACCAGAUUCAAAGUGACUUGACCUGACACCUGGUGCUUCCCUCUGAAAGUACAGUUAGUACCAGUACAAACUCUGUCUUCAGAAGACCCACUGGAUGUUUCAGUGUUUAUCUCCUAAGCUGAUGCCUGUCCUUGAGAGAAUUGCUUUCCAGACUCAUCAACAAAGUAUACUGUCAACAUUUUACGUCUUCCCCAAUCUGAAAGGUAAAAAUGUACUUUCAAUCUUCUCACAUAUUUAAAUGUCAUUAAAUAUCUUUCUCUGUGAA